rnacentral:rRNA from 1 species
GUCCUAGCCGUAAACGAUGAGCACUAGGUGUUGGGGGUAACCUUCAGCGCCGUAAGAUAACUCGUUAAGUGCUCCACCUGGGGACUACGACCGCAAGGUUAAAACUCAAAGGAAUUGACGGGGGCCCGCACAAGCGGUGGAACAUGUGGUUCAAUUCGACGCUACGCGAAGAACCUCACCAGGGCUUGACAUGCAGGAAGUAUGAAGCGGAAACGCGGAAGACCUGUCAAGUCAGGAGCCUGCACAGGUGUUGCAUGGCUGUCGU